GAGAUGUGAUCAAGAUCAGACUACCAAAUCCUACAGCAUUUGAGGUCUCUACUUGCUCAAUAUCA
rfam:Picea glauca, whole genome shotgun sequence.